GAAGUGUGGACGCCAGUCUGCAUGGAGCCGACCUUGAAAUACCACCCUUUAAUGUUUGAUGUUCUAACGUGGACCCGUAAUCCGGGUUGCGGACAGUGUCUGGUGGGUAGUUUGACUGGGGCGGUCUCCUCCUAAAGAGUAACGGAGGAGCACGAAGGUUGGCUAAUCCUGGUCGGACAUCAGGAGGUUAGUGCAAUGGCAUAAGCCAGCUUGACUGCGAGCGUGACGGCGCGAGCAGGUGCGAAAGCAGGUCAUAGUGAUCCGGUGGUUCUGAAUGGAAGGGCCAUCGCUCAACGGAUAAAAGGUACUCCGGGGAUAACAGGCUGAUACCGCCCAAGAGUUCAUAUCGACGGCGGUGUUUGGCACCUCGAUGUCGGCUCAUCACAUCCUGGGGCUGAAGUAGGUCCCAAGGGUAUGGCUGUUCGCCAUUUAAAGUGGUACGCGAGCUGGGUUUAGAACGUCGUGAGACAGUUCGGUCCCUAUCUGCCGUGGGCGCUGGAGAACUGAGGGGGGCUGCUCCUAGUACGAGAGGACCGGAGUGGACGCAUCACUGGUGUUCGGGUUGUCAUGCCAAUGGCACUGCCCGGUAGCUAAAUGCGGAAGAGA
rnacentral:rRNA from 1 species